rnacentral:misc_RNA from 1 species
GAAGAAGAACGUAGCGAAAUGCGAUACUUGGUGUGAAUUGCAGAAUCCCGUGAACCAUCGAGUCUUUGAACGCAAGUUGCGCCCGAAGCCACUAGGCCGAGGGCACGCCUGCCUGGGCGUCACACGCCGUUGCCCCCCCAUCUACUCCUUCGGGAUUGCGGGGGGGCGGAUGAUGGCCUCCUGUGCGCCUAGCCGCGCGGUUGGCAUAAAUACCAAGUCCUCGGCGACGCACGCCACGACAAUCGGUGGUUGCGAAACCUCGGUUGCCCGUCGUGUGCGUUCGUCGCGCAUCGAGGGCUCGAAAAAAUGCUCGGCUCCGGCUGGGCUUUCAACGCGACCCCAGGUCAGGCGGGGUUACCCGCUGAAUUUAAGCAUAUCAAUAAGCGGAGGA